GGGGAAUAUUGCACAAUGGGCGGAAGCCUGAUGCAGCAACGCCGCGCGAGUGAAGAAGGUUUUCGGAUUGUAAAGCUCUGUCAUCCGGGACGAUAAUGACGGUACCGGAUGAGGAAGCCACGGCUAACUACGUGCCAGCAGCCGCGGUAAUACGUAGGUGGCGAGCGUUGUCCGGAAUUACUGGGCGUAAAGGGUGCGCAGGCGGACAUUUAAGUGAGAUGUGAAAUACCCGGGCUUAACCCGGGCAGUGCAUUUCAAACUGGGUGUCUGGAGUGCAGGAGAGGAGAACGGAAUUCCUAGUGUAGCGGUGAAAUGCGUAGAGAUUAGGAAGAACACCAGUGGCGAAGGCGGUUCUCUGGACUGUAACUGGCGCUGAGGCACGAAAGCGUGGGGAGCAAAC
rnacentral:rRNA from 1 species